rnacentral:rRNA from 1 species
UAGGGAAUCUUCCGCAAUGGACGAAAGUCUGACGGAGCAACGCCGCGUGAGUGAAGAAGGAUUUCGGUUCGUAAAACUCUGUUGUUAGGGAAGAAAAAAUGUAUAGUAACUAUAUACAAAAGAGACGGUACCUAACCAGAAAGCCACGGCUAACUACGUGCCAGCAGCCGCGGUAAUACGUAGGUGGCAAGCGUUGUCCGGAAUUAUUGGGCGUAAAGCGCGCGCAGGUGGUUUAGAAAGUCUGAUGUGAAAGCCCACGGCUCAACCGUGGAGAGUCAUUGGAAACUAAUAAACUUGAGUGCAGGAGAGAAAAGGGGAAUUCCUAGUGGAGCGGUGAAAUGCGUAGAGAUUAGGAGGAACACCGGUGGCGAAAGCGGCUUUUUGGCCUGCAAAAGGCACUGAGGCGCGAAAGCGUGGGGAGCAAAAAGG